GCCAGACUCCUACGGGAGGCAGCAGUGGGGAAUAUUGCACAAUGGGGGGAACCCUGAUGCAGCGACGCCGCGUGGGUGAAGAAGUAUUUCGGUAUGUAAAGCCCUAUCAGCAGGGAAGAAAGAAGACGGUACCUGACUAAGAAGCCCCGGCUAACUACGUGCCAGCAGCCGCGGUAAUACGUAGGGGGCGAGCGUUAUCCGGAUUCACUGGGUGUAAAGGGAGCGUAGACGGCCGUGCAAGCCAGGAGUGAAAGCCCGGGGCCCAACCCCGGGACUGCUCUUGGAACUGUGCGGCUGGAGUGCGGGAGGGGCAGGCGGAAUUCCUGGUGUAGCGGUGAAAUGCGUAGAUAUCAGGAGGAACACCGGCGGCGAAGGCGGCCUGCUGGACCGCGACUGACGUUGAGGCUCGAAAGCGUGGGGAGCGAACAGGAUUAGAUACCCGAGUA
rnacentral:rRNA from 1 species